GAUGAAGAACGUAGCGAAAUGCGAUAAUUAAUGUGAAUUGCAGAAUUCCGUGAAUCAUCGAGUCUUUGAACGCACAUUGCGCCUCAUGGCAUUCCGUGAGGCAUGCCCAUCUCAGCGUUAGAAAAUAUUCUCAAAUUUUAGUUUUGUGCUAAAAUUUGGAUCAUGUCAAGGAAGCUAUUACUAUUAUUGUGAUCGCUCUUUGGAAAUUGAUAGGUCUUUGAGUUGCUACUCAUAGAACGUGAUGAAUCUUUCUUCGUUCUAUUGUAAUUCACUCUGGUAGUCCUAAAACUUGUAUGCCUGUGGCGUAUCUUGUAAUUUGACCUGAGAUUGGGUAGGGAUACCCGCUGAACUUAAGCAUAUCAAUAAGCGGAGGA
rnacentral:misc_RNA from 1 species